UGUGGAUCUACAUUUGUGCCUUUCUCACGACUGCAGCCGUCCUUACCUGAUUCGAGAAAAAGAAAGACCCACAUUGGAGCACUGGAUUGAGCUCCCAAAGACCAGUUGAAGAAUGUGAGGAAUGAGAAUAUGAACAAAGAGGUCAGGACCACGAUGGGUUCACCCACUGAAAUAGUCUACCUGAGCUUAAGGGAGCUCAUCAACUCCAACCAAACUGGGAAGAAACAAGCAUAGGACCAAACUAUUUCCUCUGAAUGUGGUUGACAGUUGCAUGGCUGGGGCAGACUGCGUGGCCACUGGCAGUGGCACCAGGAUUCAUCCCUACUGCAUGUACUGGCUUUUUGGGAUCCUAUUCUUUUUGUAAAACAUAAAUGAUAAUUCUAUGAAGCAGUCAGUUUUAACAUGAAAUACAAUAAAACAAUGAAGAAGUCAUCUUGAAAAGUAUCAUUAUAAGAAGUACUACUAAUAGGAAUGUAAGAGUAUGGAAGAUCCCUUUUGAGACUCAUUUUCUGUGCUGAGGAGUUCCAUCCAGACGGGAACUGUUCCUGCUCCUGCACUGAGGAGAUCCACCCAGAGAGUCAGUCACAGCAAAGAUUGGAACAAGAUACCAAGACUCUCCUGGCUCCAUUUGAAGGAAGAGAUGGGCAGGCACCAAUACAAGAAUUCCUCCAACAACCUGAAAGGCAACAUGACAUCACCAGAAUCCAGGGAUCAUGAAACAGGAAGAAUUGAACACCCUGAUCCAAAAGAAAUAGAAGAAAUCGACAUUAAAUGGAACAUUAUGAAAAUAAUAGAGGACCUUAAACAGGAUGUGGAAAAACUGCUGUAAAGAAAUGAAUAACAAUGAUAACAAACAAAAGUGUAGAGGAAAUGAAUAAAUCUCUCAAAGAUACCCAAGAAAAACAAGAAAAAAAAAGAAAAGAAAAAGCAAUCAAACAGGUAAGGGAAACAGUUCAAGACUUGAAAAAUGAAAUGGAGGUAAUGAAAAAAACACAAACCCAGGAAAGGCUGAAUAUGGAAAAUCUGGGUAAACGAACAGGAACUACAGAGACAAGUAUUACCAACAGAAUACAAGAGAUAGAAGAAAGAAUCUCAGACACUGAAAAUACUAUAGAGGAAAUAAACUCACUGAUUAAAGAACAAAACAAAUCCAACAAAAUCUUAACGCAAAACAUCUAGGAAAUCUAGAACACCAUGAAAAGACCAAAUCUAAGAAUAAUAGGGGUAGAAGAAGAAGAAUUACAGCUCAGUGGCCCAGAAAAUAUAUUCAACAAAAUUAUAGAAGAAAACUUUCCCAACCUAAAGAAAGAUAUUCCUAUGAAGGUUCAAGAAGCAUAUAGAACAACAAAUAGACGGGAUCAAAAAAAAAAAAAAAAGAAAGAAAGAAAACAUCCCUUCGCCAUAUAAUAAUCAAAACACAAAACAUACAGAAUAAAGAACAAAUAUUAAGAGCUUCAAGGGAAAAAAGUCAAGUAACAUAUAAAGGCAAACCUAUCAGAAUUACACCUGACUACUCUAUGGAAACCAUGAAAGCGAGAAGGUUUUGGAUAGAUGUGCUGCAGACACUAAGAGACCAUGGAUGCAAGUCCAGACUACUAUACCCAGCAAAGCUUGCAUUCACCAUCAAUGGAGAAAACAAGAUAUUCCAGGACAAAAAUAGAUAUAAACAAUACAUAGCCACAAACCCAGCCUUAUAGUAAAUACUAGAAAGAAAACCACAAACAAUGGAAGCCAACAACACCCAUAAUAAUACAAACAUCUGACAAUCCUCCACCAGCACAACUCAAAGAAGGGAAACACACAAAUUCUAACACCAGAAAAAAUAACCAGAGUUUACAACCAUUGGUCAUUAAUAUCACUUAAUAUCAAUGGAUUCAAUUCAUGUAUAAAGAGGCACAGGUUAAGAGAAUGGAUAUGAAAUCAGGAUCCAAUAUUCUGCUGUUUAAAAGAAACACACCUCAAAAGCAAAAACAGACACUACCUCAGAGUAAAGGGUUGGGAAAAGGGUUUUCAAUCAAAUGGACCAAAGAAACAAGCAGGUGUGGCUAUAUUAAUAUCUAACAAAGUUGAUUUUAAACUAAAAUCAAUCAGAAGAGGUGGAGAUGGACACUUUAUACUCAUAACAGGAACAAUUAAUCAGGAGGAAGUCUCAAUUUAGAAUAUCUAUGCCCCUAAUAUAAAACACCCACCUAUGUAAAAGAAACAUUACUAGAACUCAAAGCAUACAUCAAACCCCACACUCUAGUAGUAGAAGACUUCAACCCUCCGGUCUCACCAAUGAACAGGUCAACCAGAUAGAAACUUAACAGAGAAAUAAGAGAACUAUCAGAUGUAAUGAACCAAAUGGACUUAACAGACAUCUAUAGAAUAUUUUCCAAAGAAUAUACCUUCUUCUCAGCAUCUCAUAAAACAUUCUCAAGAAUUGAUCACAUAAUUGGUAACAAAGCAAACAUCCAUAGAUACAAAGAAAUUGUAGUAACCACCUUUGUAUUAUCAGAUCACCAUGGAAUAAAGUUAGAAUUCAACAACAAUUCUAACGCCAGAAAGCCUAGAAACUCAUGGAAACUGAACAGUCAACUACUGAACCACACCGGGAUCAAGGAAGAAAUAAAGAAAGAAAUUAGUCUUCCUUUAGAAUUCAAUGAAAAUAAAGACAAAUCAUAUCCAAACCUAUGCGACACUAUGAAAGCAGUUCUAAGAGGAAAAUUCAUUGUACUAAGUGCCCACAUAAAGUAAAUGAAGAAAGCACACAAUAGAGACUUAAGAGUACACCUGAAAGCUGUAGAAAAAAAAAAGAGGCAGAUUCAUCCAGGAGGAAUAAAAGACUGGAAAUAAUCAAACUGAGGGCUGAAAUCAACAAAAUAGAAACACAGAAAACAAUCCAAAGAAUCAAUGAAACAAAAAGCUGGUUCCUGGAGAAAAUCAACAAGAUUGACAAACCCCUGUCCAAACUAAUCAAAUGGCAGAGAGAACACACAAAUUAACAAGAUCAGAAAUGAAAAGGGGAACAUAACCACAGACACAGAGGAAAUUCAGAGAUUCAUUAGAUCUUAAUACAAAAGCCUGUAUGCCACAAAAUUGGAAAAUGUAAAAGAAAUGGACACUUUUUUAGAUAAGCACCAUAUUAAAAUUAAAUCAAGACCAGGUGAACAGUUUAAAUAGACAUGUAAGUCACGAGGAAUUAGAAGCUGUCAUCAGAAAUCUCCCUACCAAAAAAAGACCUGGAACAGAUGGUUUUAAUGCAGAAUUCUACCAGAACUUCCAAGAGGAGCUAAUACCUAUACUCCUUAAUGUUUUUCACAAAAUAGAAACAGAAGAGUCAUUGCCAAACACCUUUUAUGAAGCUACAGUCACCCUGAUAUCAAAACCACAAAAAGACUUAACCAAGGAAGAGAAUUACAGACCAAUCUCACUCAUGAACAUUGAUGCAAAAAUUCUUAAUUAAAUAAUGGAAAAUUGAAUCCAAGAACAGAUCCAAAAAAUUAUCCCUUAUGGUCACAUAGGCUUCAUCCCAGGGAGACAGGGCUGGUUCAAUCAAUGUAAUCCACUGUAUAAAUAAAUUGAAGGAAAAAAAAACAUAUAAUCAUUUCAUUAGAUGCUGAAAAAACAUUUGACAAAAUUCAACACCGCUUUAUGAUAAAGGUCUUGGAGAGAUUAGGGAUACAAGGUUCAUUCCUAAAUAUAAUAAAAGCAAUAUACAGCAAACCAACAGCUGACAUUAAAUUAAACACAGGGAAACUCAAAGCCAUCCCACUAAAAUCAGGAACAAGACAAGGCUGUCCACUCUCUCCAUACCUCUUCAAUAUAGUGCUUGAAGUUCUAGCAAAGCAAUAAGACAGCAUAAGGAGAUAAAGGGGAUUCGAAUUGGAAAGGGAGAAGUCAAACUUUCGUUAUUUGCAGAUGAUAUGAUAGUGUACAUGAUCAACCCCAAAAACUCUACCAAAGAACUUCUACACCUUUAGUAAUGUGGAAGGAUACAAGAUCAACUCCAAAAACUCAGUUGCCCUCUUAUAUACUAAGAACAAAGAAGCAGAGAAAGAAAUCAGAGAAACAUCCCCUUUUGCAAUAGCCACAAAUGACAUAAAGUAUCUUGGGGUAACUCUAACUAAGGAAGGGAAAGAUCUAUUUGACAAGAACUUUAAGUGUUUGAAGAAAGAAAUUGAAGAGGAUACCAGAAAAUGGAAGGAUCUCCCAUGCUCUUAGAUUGGGAGGAUCAACAUAGUAAAAAUGCCAAUUCUACCGAAAGAAAUAUAUAUAGAUUCAAUGCAAUCCCCAUCAAAAUCCCAACAAAAUUCUUCACAGACCUUGAGAGAACAAUAAUCAACUUUAUAUGGAAAAACAAAAAACCCAAGAUAGCUAAAACAAUCCUAUACAAUAAAAGUACUUCCGGAGGCAUUACCAUCCCUGACUUCAAACUCUAUUACACCGCUACAGUAAUGACAACAGCUUGGUAUUGGCACAAAAACAGAGAUGUUGACCAAUGGAAUUGAAUCAAAGACCCAGAUAUUAAGCCACUAACCUAUGAACACCUGAUUUUUGACAAGGGAGCUAAAAUUAUACAAAGGAAGAAAGAAAGCAUCUUUAACAAAUGGUGCUAGCAUAACUGGAUGCCAACCUGUAGAAGAAUAAAAAUAGAUCUAUAUCUACCACCAUGCACAAAACUCAAGUCCACAUGGAUUAAACACCUCAAUAUUAAUCUGACCACACUGAACCUGAUAGAAGAGAAAGUGGGAAGUAGACUGCAACACAUGAGCACAGGAGACCACUUUCUACAUAGAACCCCAGUAGCACAGACAAUAAGAGCAACAAUGAAUAAAUGGGACCUCCUGAAACUGAGAAGCUUCUGUAAAGCAAAGGACACUGUCCUUAAGACAAAAAGGCAACCUAAUGAUUGGGAGAAGAUCUUCACCAACCCCACAUCAGAUAAAGGUCUGAUUUGUAAAAUAUAUAAAGAACUCAAGAAACUAGACUUUAAAACUGUAAUUAACCCAAUUAAAAAAUGGGGUACUGAACUAAACAGAGAAUUCUCAACAGAAGAAGUUCAAAUGGCCAAAAGACACUUAAGGUCAUGCUCAACCAUGAUCAGGGAAAUGCAAAUCAAAACAACUUUGAGGUAUCAUCUUACACCUGUCAGAAUAGCUAAAAUCAAAAACAUCAACGAUAGCCUAUGCUGGAGAGGAUGUGGAGUAAGGGAAACACUCACUCAUUGUUGGCGGGAAUGCAAAUUUGUGCAACCACUUUGGAAAUCAGUGUGGCAGUUUCUCAGGAAACUGUAGUCAGCCUACUUCAGGAACCAGCUAUUCCACUCUUGGGAAUAUACCCAAGAGAUGCCCAAUCAUACUACAAAAGCAUUUGUUCAACUAUGUUCAUAGCAGCACUAUUUGUAAUAUCCAGAACGUGUAAACAACCUAGAUGACCUCAACAGAAGAAAGAUAAAGAAGGUGUGGUACAUAUACACUUUAGAGUUUUACUCAGCGGUAAAAAAAAAUGACAUCUUGAAUUUUGCGUGCAAAUGGAUGGAAAUAGAAAACACUUUACUGAGUGAGAUAACCUAGAUCCAAAAAGAUGAAUAUGGUUUGUACUCACUCAUAAGUGGAUACUAGUCAUAAAUAAGGGACAUUGAGCCUAUAAUUCGUGAUCCUAGAGAAGCUAAAUAAGAAGGUGAACCCAAAGAAAAACAUAUAGUUAUCUUCCUGGAUAUUGGAAAUGGACUGGAUUGUCAGGCAGGGGUUGGGGGCAAGUGGGUGGGGUGGGGUGGAGGUAAAGGGAAAUGGAGAGAGAGAAGGCAGAUCGGGAGGAUGGAGAGACCCUGGGGGAAUGUAAUGGUUGAGAUGGAGGAAGGGUGGAUAUGGGAGUAGGAAAGUAUAUAUCUUAAUUAAGCCAUUUUAGGGUUGGCAAGAGACUUGACUCUAGAGGGGUUCCCAGGUGUCCUCGGAGAUAUCUCCAGCUUGGACCCUGAGCAAUGGAGGAGAGGGUGCCUGAACUUGUCUUGUCCCAUAGUCAGACUGGUGAUUAUCUUGAAUAUUACCAUAAAACCUUCAUCUGGCAAUGGAUGGAGAUAGAGACAGAGACCCACAUUGGAGCACUGGACUGAGCUCCCAAGGUCCAAAUAAGGAACAGAAGGAGGGAGAUCAUGGGCAAGGAAGUGAGGACCGCAAGGGGUGCGUCCACCCACUGAGAUAGUGGGACUGUUCUAAUGGGAGCUCACCAAGACCAGCUGGAUUGGAACUGAUAGAGCAUGUGAUCAAACCAGACUCUCUGAAGGUGGCUGAUGGUGGGGGCUGACUGAGAAGCCAAUGACAGUAGCACUAGGUUUUGAUUCUACUGCAUGGACGAACUUUGUGGGAGCCUAGUCUGUUUGGAUGCUCACCUUCCUAGACCUGGGUGGAGUGGGGAGGACCUUGGACUUCCCACAAGGCAGGGAACACUGACUGCUCUUUGGACUGGAGAGGGAAGAGGAGGGGUAGUGGGGAAGGGGAGGGAAUUGGGAAAAGGGGAGGAAGUGGAAAUUUUUAAAUAAUAAUAAUAAUAAUAAAAACACCUGUGACAGCCUUUUUUGUCCUUCCUCAACUCCUAUCACUUGUGUUCCCACAGAUCUUCCCCUUUUCUCCCCAUUCCCACACACCUUGCUUUCUUUUUCUAAUCUUCCGUUCCAGAAGGAACCCCCCGCUAAGCUAAGGUUCCUGUGAACAUACCAGCUGUAUAGGACAGGAUAAUAAGCAAAACACAGCCAUCACACUCUCUAAAACUCUUCUGAGGAAACACAAAGCAAGAAACAAAUCACAAAUCCAACAAAGAUAAAUACAGAAACCAGAGCCUAGACGUAUAAUAACUCCCAAAUCAGAGACAUAGAUGCAAUUGUAAAAUAUAAUUAAUAAUCAUGGCUCCACUAAAAUGUGGUUAUCUUACCAUUAGAGACUCUUAUUAUUUCAACAUAGCUGAAGCUCAAGAAACUUAUCUUAUAACCACCUGUAUGAAAAUAAUAUAGGUCCUUAAGGAAGAAAUUGGUAAAUCCUUUAAAGAAAUCCAAGAAAACACAAACGAUUGGAGGGAAUGAAUAUAUACCUUAAGGAAUUCAAGAACACACAAACAAACAGAGGAAAAAACAAAACUGCUCAAGAGAUGAAAAUGAAAAUAGCAUAAAAAGAAAACACAAAUGGAUGGAAAUCUGGAAAUGAAAUUUUAGGAAUUUGAUCAGAAACAAUCAAGGAAAGCUAUUGAUAUCUCUCAGUAUCAAAAGACUCAAUUCCGUAGUAAAAAGACACAGAUGAUGAGAAUGGACUCAAAGUCAGGUUCCAUUCUUUUCCUGCAUACAAAAAGCACAACUCAGCAUCAAUGGUCAAGGGUUGGAAAAAGAUAUUUCAACCAAAUGGUCCUAAGAAGCAAGCUGCUGUGGCCAUUUUAAUAUCUAACAACAUAGACUUCAAACCAACAUUAAUCAAAAAAUUGAGAAGGACACUACAUACUUAUCAUAGGAAACAUAAUCUCCCAAGAUGAUAUUUCAAUUCUUGAUAUCUAUUCUGCAAACACAAUGACACUCAUUUUUGUAAAAGGGGUACUACUGCAGCUGAAAUCACAUAAUGACCUUUACACACUAAGAGUAGAGGACUUACAUAUUCCACUCCCACCAAUGGACAGGUCAUCCUGACAAAACUUGAAGAGAUAAUACUGGACAUAACAGGCAUUAUAAACAAAAUGUACGUAAUAUAAUUCCAGAACAUUUCACCAACACACAAAAGAAAAUGUCUUCUUCCUAGUUCCUCAUGAAACUUUCCCAAAAAUUGACCACCUACUCAGAAAAAAAAAAAAAGAAAAUUUCAACAAAUAGAAGUAAAGUGAAAUAACUAUAUAUAUCCUAUCAUGGAUUAAAGGUAAAUAUAGCAAGAACAGAAACAAGAUAAAACUUAUAGGUUCAUGGAAACUAAACCACACUGCAUUGAAUGGUUACUGGGUCAAGGCAGAAAUGAAAAAAGAAAUUAAAUACUUCCUAGAUUUUCAUGAAAAUGAAUACAAAACAUACCCAAAAUUAUGAAAUACAUGAAAGCAUUGCAAACGAAGAGUUCAUAACAGUAAGUGCCUCGAUAAAAAAAAAUAGAGAAAUUUUAUACUAGCAACUUGACAGCACAUCUGAAAACUAUAAAAUAAAAAAAGCACACUCAAGAGGAUAAAACAGCAAGAAAUAAUCAAAAUGAGGGCUGAAUUAAAUAAAAUUGAAACAAAAGGACAGUUCAAAAAAUCAAUAUAAAACAGUUGGUUCUUCAAGAAAAUUAACAAUAUAGAAGAACCUUUGCCCCCUCCGUCUGACUCCUUUCCCUCUUUGACCACAUAACAUCUCCCAGCCCAGCCUGUUCGGGCUCUAGGACCGAAUCCGAAUCGGCAGGGCAAACGGGAGGGCACUAGCUCCUUUGUCCCCACUAGCCUGCCUGCAGCGAGCUAGGUAGGUCCUUUGAUUACAAGUCACCCAAGCAGCAAGGAGAUCCGAACCCCGCACCAGGAGAGACAUCAGGCUUGCAUCCACAACCCACCCAGAGCGGUCCUGAGGAGUUCCAUCUGGACGGUAGUCCAGGUUUGGGUGCUGAGGAGUUCCAGCUCAACGGGACGGUCCCUGCUUCUACACUGAAAAGAUACACCCAGAGACUCAUUCACAGCAAAGACUGGACCAAGACACCAGGCCUCUCCUGGCUCCAUUUGAAGGAGGAGAUGGGAAGGCGCCAAUGCAAGACUUCCUCCAACAACCUGAAAGGCAACAUGACUUCACCAGAAUCAAGGGAUCCCGAAAUAAGAAGAAUUGUACACCCUACUCCAGAAGAAUUAGAAGAAAUCGACUCAAAAGUGAAUUAUAUGAAAAUAAUAGAAGACCUUAAGCAGGAGGUGAAAAACUGCCAUAAACAAUUAGAGAUUACAAACAAAAAGGUAGAGGAAAUGAAUAAAUCGCUUAAAGAUACCCAAGAAAAUCAAGAGAAACAUGAAAAAGCAAUCAGACAGGUACGGGAAGCAGUUCAAGACUUGAAGAAUGAAAUGGAAGUAAUGAAGAAAACACAAACCGAGGGAAGAUUGGAGAUGGAAAAUCUGGGUAAACGAACAGGAACUACAGAGACAAGUACUACCAACAGAAUACAAGAGAUAGAAGAAAGAAUAUCAGAUACUGAAGAUACCAUAGAGAAAAUAAACACACUGAUCAAAGAAAACAGCAAAAC